UGUAGGUGUCGGUUGUAUCCCUCGUGCGGCUGUAGAUGGUUCACAAUUUAGUGUGAAACACUUGUAGGUGUCGGUUGUAUCCCUCGUGCAGCUGUAGGUGGUUCACAAUUGAGUGUGAGACGCCUGUAGGUGUCGGUUGUAUCCCUUGUGCGACUGUAGAUGGUUCACAAUCGAGUGUGAAACACUUGUAGGUGUCGGUUGUAACCCUUGUGUGGCUGUAGGUGGUUCACAAUCGAGUGUGAAACACUUGUAGGUGUCAAUUGUAUCCCUCGUGCGGCUGUAGAUGGUUCACAAUCGAGUGUGAAACACUUGUAAGUGUCUAUUGUGACCCUUGUGCGGCUGUAGGUGGUCACAAUCGAGUGUGAGACGCCUGUAGGUAUCAGUUGUAUCCCUCGUGCGGCUGUAGUUGGAUCACAAUCAAGUGUGAAACACUUGUAGGUGUCUGUUGUAACCCUUGUGCGGCUGUAGGUGCUCACAAUCGAGUGUGAAACACUUGUAGGUGUCGAUUGUAACCCUUGUGCGGCUGCAGCUGGUCACAAUUGAGUGUGAGACGCCUGUAGGUGUCGGUUGUAUCCUUUGUGUGGGUGUAGUUGGAUCACAAUCGAGUGUGAAACACUUGUAGGUUCGGUUGUAUCCCUUGUGUGGGUGUAGGUGGUCACAAUUGAGUGUGAAACACUUGUAGGUGUCGAUUGUAACCCUUGUUUGGGUGUAGGUGGGUCACAAUCGAGUGUGAGACACCUGUAGGUGUCGGUUGUAUCCCUCGUGCGGCUGUAGAUGGUUCACAAUCGAGUGUGAAACACUUGUAGGUGUCGAUUGUAACCCUCGUUUGGGUGUAGGUGGGUCACAAUUGAGUGGGAAACACUUGUAGGUGUCGAUUGUAACCCUUGUUUGGGUGUAGUUGGAUCACAAUCGAGUGUGAGACACUUGUAGGUGUCUAUUGUAACCCUUGUGUCGCUGUAGGUGGGUCACAAUUGAGUGUGAAACACUUGUAGGUGUCGGUUGUAUCCCUUGUGUGGGUGUAGGUGGUCACAAUUGAGUGUGAAACACUUGUAGGUGUCGAUUGUAACCCUUGUGCGGCUGUAGGUGGCUCACAAUUGAGUGUGAAACACUUGUAGGUGUCGAUUGUAACCCUUGUGUGGCUGUAGGUGGUUCACAAUCGAGUGUGAGACGCCUGUAGGUGUCUAUUGUAACCCUUGUGUGGGUGUAGGUGGCUCACAAUCGAGUGUGAAACACUUGUAGGUGUCUUUUGUAACCCUUGUGCGGCUGUAGGUGGCUCACAAUUGAGUGUGAAACACUUGUAGGUGUCUAUUGUAUCGCUUGUUUGGGUGUGGUUGGAUCACAAUUGAGUGUGAAACACUUGUAGGUGUCGGUUGUAUCCCUCGUGCGGCUGUAGGUGAUCACAAUCGAGUGUGAGACGCUUGUGGGUGACGGUUGUAUCCCUCGUGUGACUGUAGGUGGCUCACAAUUGAGUGUGAAACACUUGUAGGUGUCGAUUGUAACCCUUGUGCAGGUGUAGUUGGGUCACAAUUGAGUGUGAGACACUUGUAGGCGUCGAUUGUAUCCCUUGUGCAGGUGUAGGUGGUUCACAAUCGAGUGUGAGACGCCUGUAGGUGCUCACAAU